rnacentral:rRNA from 1 species
AUAGCUGGGUAGCUAUGUGCGGAAGGGAUAAGUGCUGAAAGCAUCUAAGCAUGAAGCCCCCCUCAAGAUGAGAUUUCCCAUAGCGUAAGCUAGUAAGAUCCCUGAAAGAUGAUCAGGUUGAUAGGUUCGAGGUGGAAGCAUGGUGAUAUGUGGAGCUGACGAAUACUAAUAGAUCGAGGACUUAACCAUAUAA